CUCCCGGCGCGUGACGCGGCUGGGUCCCAACUUGCCUGAGGGCCGGGAGCAACUGCCUCAGUGGGCCGGGAGCUUCUGAAUGUCCUUGAGCCCCGUGAGAAAGUCGCCAACACGCAACAGCCGCCGGUGUUGUCCCAUGAUGCUUUCAUGGCUUUGUGGAAGACCAAGAGUGUUUGAAGAGAGGCAAGGAGGAGUCUUUGGCUAAGUUCAAAAAUGGAAACGGAACUGAAUGAUGAUUUGAGUGACGUAUGGAAAGUAGGUUAGUUUGAGCAGGAGAACAAGCAAAACUGAAUUACACACCCCAUCUCUCCAAGAGAAGCAUCUUGAGGCCAGAGAUGUGGUUUCAUAACACUGCCUGCAGCCCCAGGUGUGUGGCACCCAGGAAAGACCAUUGCAGAAUGGUAAUGUUUCAUACCUUGGAGCAACACAGAACAUUCUGCCUGCCAGUGCCUACUUAUUAUUUCCACUCCGAGCCAAAAAGCCGCCUCUGUAGACGAAAGAACUUUUGGGAACCUUUGCCCCUGUGGGCAGAUUCUUCAUGUGAGAGACACAGCUGCUUCCUUCAGUUCAGGAUAUUACCAAAACUGCUACCAAAGUUCCCAUACCAGUUGGCAAUCAAAUAAACAAAAAGAUGAAGCAAGAAAACUGAAUCAGACAAUAAAAACAA